ensembl:lncRNA
CACACUCACGGGCACACACAAUCGCGCACAUGCACGCACAGGCACCCAAUCCCAAACGCACACACUAACGGGCACAAACAAUUACACACACGCACAAACACACGACACAGGAGGAUAUCAUGAUUGUUCAUCGUGUGCAGCAAUCAUUCCAGCCGGCAGGAAGCAGCUGGUGUGCCGGGGUGCCAGCGCGUUGGAGGGCUCUCGGAGGGCUUCUCGUGUCAGCGGACAGCGGAGGACAUUUAUGCAUGAAUGCAUGCAUGUGUAGCGUGUGCAUACCUUGCUACAGGGCAUGACCCAGUAGGCGAUAGCCAGGAAGGGCAGCCCAACGGUGACCCCCAGCACAGUCCAACACUUGACCCCCAUGGACUGCUGCCUCAGCCCGGACAGGUUCUCGUACCAGAUGCGAAACAAAGUCUACUGUUGUCACCUAAUAUAUAAUCUUGCCACCCAGAACCCUUUUGCUGCUCAGCUCUCCUGUACGUCACAACAUGUCCUUAUUUGCCCUCCCUCUGGGUUUCUGAGAGGAUAAGUCUGUUUGAGGGCUCAGGGGACAUUUUUGUGUGUGACCAAACAUUUGGAAACUGUCUGGUGAAGCCCACAGAUGAUUGUGAAACAGGGGAAAAUAUCAACAAGGACGACCCGAGGACAAAGUCUACGGCCCAGUGUCUUUCCAUUACGGAGCAGAGUCAUCGAGGUGCGGCCUCGACUCCCAGUCGGAGGGACAGAGUGUUGAUCGAGGAAGAGUGCUGUGGUUGCCAUAGAAACCCAGAACAGGGAGGGAGAAGAUGGACUUUCCCUGUGAGGCUGCGGGCAGGGUGUGGGGAACAGUACAGGGAACAAUCAAUGUGGACCACAGCUGGCCUGGACCCGCAUGUUCCAGGAUGGGGCAGGCCUGCGUACGGGGUGUGUCCCCGUGAACGGGAUAAAAGGGGGCCUGGCCUGGAGAGACGCGGAGCGGGA